UCUCAUCUCUAUCUCUCUCCCGGCUUCAUGAAAUCCGUCGGUUUCGAAUCCAAAUCGCUGUGAUUGAUCUCUUGAGGAGAGCGAGCCUGUUCUCGGAAGAGGAAGGAGAUGCGAACGAAGGAGGUGGCGAUUUCCCGGAGCCACCGGAGGAAGCUAAGCUCUUUGUCAGAAAUUUGGCUUACGAUGUUGAUAGCCAAGCCUUGGCUAUGCUCUUUGAGCAAGCUGGUACUGUUGAAAUCGCUGAGGUGAAUAAAAGUUGUGUAUGUUCUGUGAUACAAAUCCCAAACGACACGUCUUCUGUUCAAUCCUCUGCUCCAUCUUCUUCUUCGUCCAUCAGCAUUUUUUUUCUUUCAACUGAGCAUUCUCGUGGUGUAUAAUAAAACCAUGAAUGAUCAAGAUGGAGACUGGAAUUAUCAUCUCAGGAUCCUAAGCAAUAGCGCACGUGAUUCCACAGAUCCUGCUUCCGAUCCAUCCGUGCUACAAUCAGUAAGCAAUAGCGCACGUGAUUCCACAGAUCCUGCUUCCGAUCCAUCCGUGCUACAAUCAGGUCAGAUCACCGUCCUCUAUUACAAAUCUCAUUCCAAAAGGACCAGGUUGUCAAGCAGAAGUUGAGUGGGACGCGAUCGAGAACCUAACGGUAAGGAAAAAGAACAGGUACGAUGAGUAUGUCCUGAGAUCUUACCUCAAGAAAAGCAAGAAACAGAUCACCAUUGGAGAAAAGCAAGAAACAAAUCACCUCGAAAAAGAACAGGUAUGAUGCAGCCUUGAGUCACACAACCCUGUGACAUGCAACAACGCCUCUGAUUGGUUGUCUAGAGACUUAAAGAAGUUCAGCGUUUCCUGGAGCGAAACCAACACGAAGCUUUGUCCUCGUUGCCAAUCACCAUUGGAGAUUUUUUGUGGUUCAGGAUCCGUCUGGUUCGUGUCUUGUGCCAACUGCAGUCAAAAGAAUCCCAUGAAACGGAAUCAGGAACCUAUGGAGACUGUGUUGAACCGGUAACGGAGCAGGAUGCACUCGAGAAGGGAGCAGAAGUGGUGGAUACUUCGUGUUUGGAUCGGUGGGAGGCGUGUAAAGCUUGUCAAGAGCUUCUCAGAGACUUUAAAGGAGGAAAAAAAAAAGGCCUUGUCUGAAACUACUCUUGACGAGGUUACUUGUUUCUUACACUCUUUGGAGAUUUUGUUUGUUUGUUUGUUUGGAUCCUGAAUGCGAAGCUUCUUCUUAUGUGAUGGUUAAAGCAAUAUGGUAAUAAUCAAAGG